CAGGACGAACGUUGGCGGUGCGCUUAAUGCAUGCAAGUCGAGGGAGAACCAUUCGUUUCGUAAGAUCCGGAUGGGGAAACCGGCGAACGGGUGCGUAACACGUGAGGAACCUGCCCCGAAGACCGGGAUAGCCCGGGGAAACCCGGAUUAAUACCGGAUACCCUCAUCGGACCGCAUGGUCUGAUGAGGAAAUGGUCAGCCGCUUCGGGAUGGCCUCGCGGCCUAUCAGCUUGUUGGUGAGGUAACGGCUCACCAAGGCUAAGACGGGUAGCUGGUCUGAGAGGACGAUCAGCCACACUGGGACUGAGACACGGCCCAGACUCCUACGGGAGGCAGCAGCAGGGAAUAUUGCACAAUGGGCGAAAGCCUGAUGCAGCGACACCGCGUGCGGGAUGAAGGCCUUCGGGUUGUAAACCGCUUUCAGGAGCGACGAAAAUGACGGUACCUCCAGAAGAAGGCCCGGCCAACUACGUGCCAGCAGCCGCGGUAACACGUAGGGGCCAAACGUUGUCCGGAAUCAUUGGGCGUAAAGAGCUCGUAGGCGGUUCAGCAAGUCGGCUGUGAAAGUCCGAGGCUCAACCUCGGAACUGCAGUCGAUACUGCUGUGACUCGAGUCCGGUAGAGGAGAAUGGAAUUCCCGGUGUAGCGGUGAAAUGCGCAGAUAUCGGGAGGAACACCAGUAGCGAAGGCGGUUCUCUGGGCCGGUACUGACGCUGAGGAGCGAAAGCAUGGGUAGCAAACAGGAUUAGAUACCCUGGUAGUCCAUGCCGUAAACGUUGGACACUAGGUGUGGCGUUCCGACCAACGGGUGCCGUGCCGAAGCUAACGCAUUAAGUGUCCCGCCUGGGGAGUACGGCCGCAAGGCUAAAACUCAAAGGAAUUGACGGGUCCCCGCACAAGCGGCGGAGCAUGCGGCUUAAUUCGAUCCAACCCGAAGAACCUUACCUGGGUUUGACAUCACGGGAAAAGCUGUGGAAACGUAGUGUCCAUUAGUGCCCGUGACAGGUGGUGCAUGGCUGUCGUCAGCUCGUGUCGUGAGAUGUUGGGUUAAGUCCCGCAACGAGCGCAACCCUUAUUCUAUGUUGCCAGCGGUUCGGCCGGGGACUCAUAGGAGACUGCCGGGAUAACUCGGAGGAAGGCGAGGACGAUGUCAAGUCAUCAUGCCCCUUAUAUCCAGGGCUGCACGCAUGCUACAAUGGCCGGUACAACGGGCAGCGACC
rnacentral:rRNA from 1 species